AUACGGAGGAUCCGAGCGUUAUCCGGAUUUAUUGGGUUUAAAGGGUGCGCAGGCGGGAGAUUAAGUCGGCGGUGAAAUUUUGCAGCUCAACUGUAAAAGUGCCUUCGAAACUGGUUUCCUUGAGUGUAGAUGAAGGAGGCGGAAUUUGUGGUGUAGCGGUGAAAUGCAUAGAUAUCACGAGGAACUCCGAUUGCGCAGGCAGCUUACUAAACUACUACUGACGCUCAGGCACGAAGGCGUGGGGAUCAAACAGGAUUAGAUUCCCUGGUAGUCCACGCAGUAAACGAUGAUUACUAGCUGUUUGCGAUACAAUGUAAGCGGCUGAGCGAAAGCGUUAAGUAAUCCACCUGGGGGGUACGUUCGCAAGAAUGAAACUCAAAGGAAUUGACGGGG
rnacentral:rRNA from 1 species